rnacentral:misc_RNA from 1 species
GCCUAUGCGUGAUCAGAAGGGAGAGGUACAGUACUUCAUCGGAGUGCAACUAGAUGGAAGUCAGCAUGUAGAGCCACUUCAAAACAGUAUCCCUGAAGACAAAGCAACAGAGAGUGCAAAGCUGAUAAAAGAAACUGCUGGAAAUGUUGAUGAAGCAGUUCGAGAGCUUCCAGAUGCCAAUUCAAAACCAGAGGAUUUAUGGAGAAAUCAUUCAAAAGUUGUUCAGCCAAAGCCUCACAGGAAGGACAGCCCAUCUUGGAAAGCAAUACAAAAGAUCAUGGAGAGUGGAGAACCGAUAGGCUUGAAACAUUUCAAGCCAAUUAAACCACUGGGAUCGGGCGAUACUGGCAGUGUGCAUUUAGUGGAGCUUUGCGGAACAGACCAGCACUUUGCAAUGAAAGCAAUGGAUAAGAGUAUAAUGCUUAACCGAAACAAGGUGCAUAGAGCUUGUGCAGAACGAGAAAUCCUAGAUAUGUUGGACCACCCUUUUCUUCCCGCACUUUAUGCAUCUUUUCAGACCAAAACCCAUAUCUGUCUAAUAACUGAUUACUACCCUGGUGGAGAGCUGUUCAUGCUUCUAGAUAGACAACAAACAAAGGUGUUGAAGGAAGAUGCUGCACGGUUCUAUGCCGCUGAAGUUGUAGUCGCCUUGGAGUACCUUCACUGUCAAGGUAUAAUUUAUAGGGAUCUGAAGCCUGAAAACGUCUUGCUUCAGAGUGGUGGGCAUGUAUCUUUGACGGAUUUUGAUCUUUCCUGUUUGACAUCUUGCAAGCCACAGCUUUUAGUUCCAGAAAUCAACGAAAAGAAGAAACAUCAAAAAGGCCAACAUAAUCCAAUCUUCAUGGCUGAACCUAUGCGUGCAUCAAAUUCUUUUGUUGGAACUGA